AAAAAAAAAAAAAAAAAAAAAAAAAAAAAAAAAAAAAAAAAAAAAAAAAAAAAAAAAAAAAAAAAAAAAAAAAAAAAAAAAAAAAAAAAAAAAAAAAAAAAAAAAAAAAAAAAAAAAAAAAAAAAAAAAAAAAAAAAAAAAAAAAAAAUUACUGGUGUAUCUCAGCCAAAUCAAAUGUGUCAACAACAAUUCUCUAUGCUGUCUUGAAAAAAAAAAAAAAAAAAAAAAAAAAAAAAAAA
rnacentral:lncRNA from 1 species